rnacentral:lncRNA from 1 species
CAAGAAAAACACCAUUUUCAUCAAAUAAUAGUAAUAAUGAAGAAAUAGUCAAAAAAAAAUUCUGAAAAAAAUCUAAAAAAAUGUUUUUGGCAUUUGGGUACCUUUGUGAAAAGAGGAAGAGAUGAAGAUGAAUUGGAAGAAUCUUGAAUUAAUUCGUCGGUGGAAGAAGAGGUGGUGGUGAUUUCAUCUGGUUUAGAUUUGAGGUUUUUAAGAACAAAGAAACCGGCGAGAGUUGCGGAAAGAAAAAGAA